rnacentral:rRNA from 1 species
GUACACGCUGUGACUAGAUAUCAAUAAGCGGAGGAAAAGAAACUAACAAGGAUUCCCCUAGUAACGGCGAGUGAAGCGGGAAGAGCUCAAAUUUGAAAUCUUAAAGGGUUUCCCUUUACGAAUUGUAGUUUAAAGAAGUGUUUUCUGUUGAGGUUUUGGUAAAAGUUCUUUGGAAUAGGACAUCAUAGAGGGUGAGAAUCCCGUAUUUGACCUUUACUUUCAACUUUGUGAUACACUUUCAAAGAGUCGGAUUGUUUGGGAAUGCAGUCCAAAAUGGGUGGUAAAUUUCAUCUAAAGCUAAAUAUUGGCGAGAGACCGAUAGCGAACAAGUACCGUGAGGGAAAGAUGAAAAGAACUUUGAAAAGAGAGUUAAACAGUACGUGAAAUUGUCAAAAGGGAAGCGUUUGACACCAGUGUUGUUUUUCUGAAAAUCAAUUAAAGAACUGUUUAUGCUAAGCUGUUUAGACUUUAUCAGCUAUCUGUUUAGUUUUGAGCUUUUCUUUAAUGCACUUUCAGUUAACAAGUCAACAUCAAUUUCUUUUGCUGUAAAAAAGCUUGAGGAAGGUGGCUUGAGAUUCGUCUUAAGUGUUUAUAGCCUCUUGCCUAUGCAGUCGGAGAGAUUGAGGUCUGCAGCGUAGAUCCUUCGAGGCUAAAUGCAUUUGUGCUAAGUUAUAGCAUUUUAUAGACAACUUGUUGACUAUGAUUUGUCUUGUAGCUUACUCGCUUAUGUUAUUUUACCUACGCUUAGGAUGUUGAAGAUGUAGCACAUCAU